AACCUGCUGAGGAGUCCCAUACUAGGACGAAACGGCCGUCCAAUGU
rnacentral:hammerhead_ribozyme from 1 species